rnacentral:rRNA from 3 species
CCUGACCUCGGAUCAGACGUGAAUACCCGCUGAACUUAAGCAUA